rnacentral:rRNA from 1 species
UAAGGUGGUUAUAGCAUGGGGGAUCCACCUCUUCCCAUUCCGAACAGAGAAGUUAAGCCCCGUCACGCCGAUGGUACUGCGUAACAGUGGGAGAGUAGGUAGCCGCCGUUU